rnacentral:rRNA from 1 species
ACGACCAUAGGGUGUGGAGAACAGGGCUUCCCGUCCGCUCAGCCGUACUUAAGCCACACGCCGGCCGGUUAGUAGUUGGGUGGGUGACCACCAGCGAAUCCCGGCUGUUGUAUGUU